rnacentral:lncRNA from 1 species
GUAUCUCAAUUUGAAGGUGAUGAUUCAGUUGAUAAUAUAUUAGAAAUCAUUUUCUAAUUAUCAUCCUGCUUUGGCCAAAGUCUUUCAGAAUCACCGUCCUAUGAGAUCACAUAGGAUGUACGCUCUCUUUAUUAGGAGUGAUUAAUCUCUUAUUUAUCACUCAUAACCUCCAUGCACACUUCACCAUAUCUAGAAUACCUCACACA